rnacentral:RNase_P_RNA from 1 species
GGAGCCGACUGGAUGACCGCGACCCUUCGGGGUUGAGGAAAGUCGGGGCUCCGCAGGACAGGGUGCUGGCUUGCGCCAGUCGAGGUGACUCGCAGGAAAGUGCCACAGAAAUUAAACCGCCGUCGGUUUCGCCACCGUCGGUAAGGGUGAAACGGUGCGGUAAGAGCGCACCAGCAUCUCGGGCGACCGGGAUGGCUAGGCAAACCCCACCCGGAGCAAGGUCACGCAGGGAGAGAGCGGUCCGCUCGUUGACACUCCCGGGUCGACUGCACAGAUGGAUGGUCAUCCACGGUCCCACCUGCUUCCACCAGGAGGAACCCGGACAGAACCCCGCUUACAGGUCGACUCCCCGC